UACAGAGGUCUCAAGCGUUGUUCGGAUUCAUUGGGCGUAAAGGGCGCGUAGGCGGCGGGGUAAGUCGGGUGUGAAAUCUCAGGGCUCAACCCUGAAACUGCACUCGAUACUGCUCUGCUUGAGGACUGGAGAGGAGACUGGAAUUCACGGUGUAGCAGUGAAAUGCGUAGAUAUCGUGAGGAAGACCAGUGGCGAAGGCGGCUCACUGGCCCGAUACUGACGCUGAGGCACGAAAGCGUGGGGAGCAAACAGG
rnacentral:rRNA from 1 species